rnacentral:rRNA from 1 species
UUGAGUCUGGGAUUUCCGAAUGGGGAAACCCACUUACAUAAGUAAGUAUCGUUAUGUGAAUACAUAGCAUAACGAGGCGAACCGGGGGAACUGAAACAUCUAAGUACCCCGAGGAAAAGAAAUCAACCGAGAUUCCGAAAGUAGCGGCGAGCGAAAUUGGACUAGCCCUUAAGCUUUAUAGGCGUUAGGUGAACAAGCUGGAAAGCUUGGCGAUACAGGGUGAUAGCCCCGUAACUGACGACGCAUAUUCAGUGAAAUCGAGUAGGGCGGGACACGUGAUAUCCUGUCUGAAUAUGGGGGGACCAUCCUCCAAGGCUAAAUACUACUGACUGACCGAUAGUGAACCAGUACCGUGAGGGAAAGGCGAAAAGAACCCCUGUGAGGGGAGUGAAAUAGAACCUGAAACCGUGUACGUACAAGCAGUAGGAGCAGGCUU